GACGGGUGAGUAACGCGUGAGAAUCUGGCCUCAGGUUCGGGACAACCACUGGAAACGGUGGCUAAUACCGAAUGUGCCUCAGGGUGAAAGAUUAAUUGCCUGGGGAUGAGCUCGCGUCUGAUUAGCUAGUUGGUGGGGUAAGGGCCUACCAAGGCGUCGAUCAGUAACUGGUCUGAGAGGAUGACCAGUCACACUGGGACUGAGACACGGCCCAGACUCCUACGGGAGGCAGCAGUGGGGAAUUUUCCGCAAUGGGCGAAAGCCUGACGGAGCAAUACCGCGUGAGGGAGGAAGGCUCUUGGGUUGUAAA
rnacentral:rRNA from 1 species